UACGGAGGAUGCAAGCGUUAUCCGGAAUUAUUGGGCGUAAAGCGUCCGCAGGUGGUUUAUCAAGUCUGCUGUCAAAGCGCGAGGCUUAACUUCGUAAAGGCAGUGGAAACUACAUAGCUAGAGUAAGGUAGGGGUAGAGGGAAUUCCUGGUGUAGCGGUGAAAUGCGUAGAGAUCAGGAAGAACACCGGUGGCGAAAGCGCUCUGCUGGACCUUAACUGACACUGAGGGACGAAAGCUAGGGGAGCGAAUGGG
rnacentral:rRNA from 1 species